rnacentral:lncRNA from 1 species
CUGGGCUCUAGGAUGUGUGUCUUCAGAAAAGGGCGCAGGGUGGAAGCCACAUCAGAGGCCGAGGACACCUGGCCCCUCCCCUCUCCGCCCGCAGGUGGCUGCGCAGUCCAGGGCUGGCUCCCAGGUGCCGGUUGCUGUUAAUUCUAGACUUUGAAGCCUCACGGCUGGUCUCUCCUUUUCCUCUGGCCUGGGCAGCCCACAGCUGUUGGGGUGAUCCCCUGCUUCUGGGAUCCAGAGCCACAGUCUUAGAGUGGCCUGUAAGUCCUGGCAUGGUGCCUGGCACACUGUGGGUGCCCAGCAGGUGUUUGUCCAAUGAAUGUGCGGAAGGGCUUCUGAGCUUGCUCACCGUUGCCGCUCCCUGCUCCAGCCGCACAGAGUCCCAGCACCUGUUCCCCUGCCCCUCUGCUAUCCACAGUGCCUCCCUC